GGCCGCCUGGCGUAAUGGCAACGCGUCUGACUACGAUGAACACGUAUCGGUAUAUCAGGAGAUUGCAGGUUCGACCCCUGCGGUGGUCA